CUUGUUUGUUUACAAAUGGAGGACACCGAGGCGGCAAGAUUUAACAUGUCAUAGAAAAAGACGAUGAUUUCAUGCCAUUCCAUAACAUUAUAAGACAAUGACUGAUCAGUUUGGUACAAUCACCUGGUGGGGGUUCACUCCAGCUCUGGAUUUGCAAGAUACAGGUGGAUAACAUUUCAUUUUCGAUAAAGAUUAAAGACAGUGUGUUCCAAAUACUAGAAUGUUCUAAAUCCUCUCAAAAUUACUACCAUAACUAAAUGAGGCUGCAUACCCAAUUAUUUUCUGUUCUCUUUAAUUCUAGCAAUACUUCAUUAAAUCUGUAUAUAUCUUGGUAUAUUCUUUCAGCAAUAUAAAAUUAGAAAAUGUGUGAUUGCCAAUGACAAAGAGACAAUUUUCUCUCCUCCUGAGAGACCAAAUGACAUAGAAAUACACGAAUCUGGGUCCGUUCGCGCCCGAUCACGUUCGCGCCCUUUCACUUUCGCACCCUACACGUUCGCGCCCAAGUUUUAUUGGUUUUGUGUUUGAUAACUUUAUAACCAAGUUUUGGCAAGUGUAUUCAUAUUAGUAUAUUUGUUGUCAUUGUCUCAAAAUAAAGUGAGACAACGUGUUUUUUGUGUUGAAUAAAUCUUAAUCAUGUUUUGCCGGAUAGUGUAUUGUUAAAAUAUUUUUAAUCAUUUAAAUAAAGUGAGAUUCUGACGACCGGCAUUUUCGGGUGGAAUAAAUCUUAAAUAUUAAUCAAUUUUGGUUAGUGUAUUGCUAUAAUUUUUUAUUUAAUUGUUUCAGAUCAAAGGGACCAAUCUGUUAAAAAAAAUUAUCUUUUGUGUUUUUCAUUUAAAAUUUUCAAUGUUUUACUCAUACGAAGCUAAAUAAUUGCAUUAUUUACACCAAGGCAAUUUAAAACAACAAUCAUGAUUUUCUAAUUAUUCAACUGGAACUUGAUUUUAAAUUGGGUUUCGAACGGACCUUGGGUGCGAACGUGCGAGGUGCGAACAUGUAGGAUGCGAAAGUGUAUUGGGCGCGAACGGACCUGAUACCGAAAUACACUACUAGAGAUAACCUUCAACAAUUAGCAAAACUUACACUGCAUAGAAAGCUUUGAAGGGACCUGAAAUGACCAAUGGUAAACAAUUUCAACGAGAAAACUAAUGGUCAGCUGUCAAGCUAGUUUACAUGUAUGUUCAAAAAAUAAUAAAACAACAUAUUAUAUACAACAACAUAUGAAAAACACAGAAUGCAAACUCCAGUCUUUAAACAAGCACCUACAGAAUAUAUCCGAGUUAAAUGUGUUAGUGAUAGCCCAACCUUGGAUCCACAAAACCUGGGACAGUGGUCAUGGUGGUGCAACAGAACAAUACAAGAACUAACUGUAAAAAAAAAUUAACAAGAAAACGCAAAUAUGUUAAACAACAACCACUCAAUUACAAACUACUGGCAUAAAGUGUGUAGGGGUUAUACAUAUUUGUUUUGGGGCCCUUUACAGCAUGUGUUAAAGACCUACAAUGUAUUAUGUUUUUGUUUUUUUUACAAAUUGUGACUUGGAUAAAAAUUUGAGAGUUGUCUCAUUAGCACUCAUACCACAUCUUAUAUCUAUUGUCAGUUUGUGGGUGACCAACCCUCUAACCAACCUGGAACAGUGUUGUAACACCACAAAUUGAGAAAAAAAUAAUGAAGGUCAUGAGAUGUAUUUAUUUACAUGUACGUUAAAUGGGAUUACAAAGAGUAUAUAAUAUGUAACAGGAGGGCUGUUUACGUUGUGUGUUUUCUGUGUCAACUUUUACAUAUUUUACCCCAGACCAUGUAAGAGUAGGUAUCAGGUUUUUAAGUUGUGUAUUUCCGUAUCAUUGUCAUUGUCAACAUAUGUUAACCAACUGUUUACCCCUGUCUGCCUAAAGAGUUAAAAUCUAGAUCCUGAGUCUAAAGAGUUAAAAUCUAGAUCCUGAGUCUCUGAUCCUUCAUAUCAUCAUAUGUGGCUUUGUAGAACUCAACACUAGCAAGUUUUCAUAGUUUAUUAGCAAAUUAUAAUUCGACAAGUAUCAACAAUUUUGUAAAGAUAAAAACAUUAAACAUGUAUACGAAAGACAUUUAAAAUUUCACAUAAAAGUGACAUAGCUUAAACUGUCAUUUUAACCUUGUUCUAGAUGUAUUAUAAUGCUAGACACAAGAGCGACAUUGUCUCUAGUGGCAGUAAAAUGCAUUACACCUUUCGUGUAGACGGUGAGCAAUGUCUGUGCAAGACCAGUUAGUCAGCGAAGUCUGUGCUGGACCUUUCAUGUAGACAAGGACUGAGGUCUAUUCAAGACCAGUAAGCUCUUAAAUAAAAGCUAAAAUGAGAGGUUGUUAUAUCAACCAGAGUGGCUUAUGAAAACAAGCCCAGUACAAUUAUUUAUCUCUGCAAUUAUUUAACAAAUACUAUUCAAAUAUAAACACUCUAUAACUAAAUUAUAAGUUGCAAAUUCAACAAAAUCUGAAAAUAAAUUCAAUGAAUUUUAGCACAAUAAUGUAACUAAAUAUAUAGACAUGUUAAACAACAAUUUUUAUCAAUAAUUCAUAUUAACAAUAGUAACUUAAUGACCAUUUUAGAGGGACAUAAUACUGUUCUAAAACAUAGGAUCGCCAUUACAAAUAUAAGACAUUAUUUUAAACAACGACAAAAAUAAUUAUCAAGUAUUAUUAUAUACAAAGAAAAAAACCCAGUUUGAACAUGAAUAAACUUCACAAGCAUACACACACAUACACACACAUGUAUUUUAUAUAACAAUAAGGAAAUGUAAGAUUGUCAACCAAAGUUUUAACCCUUUCCUCCAUUAUGAUGCUUUUUGACGCCACCCCCUUUCCUCCAUAAUGACGCCUUUUGCCGCCACCCCCUUUACUCCAUAAUGACGCCUUUUGACGCCUGUGUAGAACUUCAGUUGAAACGCUUUGACUACAAAAUGUCUGCAUCAAACUUUAAAAAAUUGUAUCUAAUAUAAAAAGAAAAUUCGUGAGAAUAUCUGACUUGAAUUUCAUUGAUGAAAUAUUUGUUUUUGUAAUGCAUUAAAUACUUCAAACCUUUUUUUUAUUGAAAAAAUCCUAUGCGAAUCAAGUAUUUUAAAAAAAAAUCUCCAUGGAGUAAAGGGUUAAUAAAGUGGAUGAAAGCAAUUUUAAGGCAACCACACAUGUACAGCUUCCAACAAUGAGAAAUAACCAUACUGUAGUUGGCUAUGAAAGGCCCGACAUACAUGAAAUGAUUCAAUGGAGAAAAGGAGAAGCCUUAUUUAUAACAAAACAAUUUGCCAAAAAAAAAAAAAAAAAAUGACACAGAUGAACCAACAAUAACCAUGAUAACUACUGAACUACAAGCUCUUGACUAUGGACAGGUUCAGCUUAAACCAUUCCAGAUUCAUUGUAAACUAUUGCAAUUACCUUCAGGUGAAAACAUCUCUAUGUCAACAGUCAAUUUAUUCUUUUUAUAUAUUUACAGAUACGAUCUCAGCACUGAACAAUUUGAAACUAGAUACAGACGAAGUAAAAGGUAAAAUAAUGAUAUGUUUUACAGGCAAUAGCAAUGAGACUGCUGGUGCUAUUUGCACAAUCAUGUAAAUUUCAGGUUUAAACUGUAUCUCUGGCCUUGAUCAACAUUUCUACUCCUCACAAGAUCCCCUUUUUAUUUCACUCUCAUUCGCUUGUCACUUUGCCCCAGAAAUUUCCUUGCGGUUUUGGCUGAUAACAACGUAUUUGGUAUAAAUACACAGAUAAUAUCAUGUUCAAAAUAACAUUCCUUAUUGCUUGUAAAAAAUUCAUUUCUUCAAUGAAUACUAAUGAAAAUAUUUUUUAAGAAACAAAGAUAAAUAAUAUGAAAAUGUUUAGUUGUGAGGAAUAUAUAGUAAUGUUUACACUGUUUGUACAGAUGCAGUUACUGAUACAAAUUUGUACUUUUAAUGCAUUUACAAUUUUCAUUGUCACUUUUAUUCGAAAACAGAUACAUAAAAUAUGCUUUUGAUUGUAUUUCUACAAUUACAUUAAAUAUACUUUUGAUGGUGUUUUUACAGAUACAUUGAAUAUACUUUUGAUUGGAGCAGGUGAUAUCAGACAUGUUUUACAAACCAUCGCCAGAUCAUAUAGACACAAAAAACGGAAAUUACAUGUAAGGUUCUGUGUGCGUUAGUUAAAUGAAUUCAGCCAGACAAAUAGAUAUAUACUAUUUCAUUAUGGGGAUUGAACUCAAAAAAGGAUUUAAGGAUGUACUUAGGUGAGGGUUUGAAAUAAGUGGCAAAUGUUCGGACUCCUUGGUGUUUUUCCAUGCGAUACAAGGUAAAUUAUUUUGCCCCAUAACACUUAUUUAUCUUUUAACAUAAGAUUUAAUAGCUUAUAAAAGGUUAUUUGGCAAAAUUUAAGCAGAUUCUUGAUUUUCUGUCUUUCGGUUUGAGACCCAAAAAAUACCAAUGCAAAUAUAAGGUAAAAGUCAGUCAUCCUUUUCCCGCCAUAUUUUAUAAAUCAAAUAUCUCGAAAAGGAGCUCCAUGAUGUAUCCAUAUUUUUAGGUUAUAUUGAUCCUUAACUAAUACUCUUCCAGCUUAAAGUAUCAAUUUUGAAUUCUUGAUUUAUUUAAUUUUACCUUUAAUCACCUACAUUUGUAAGUACAUCCUUAACUCUUUGAAAAUAACAGAAACUUUUGUGUCAACCAUUCUCAUAGAUAUAAUAUGUAACACCGAUCAUACAUCUGUUCUGUUAUACAUGAAUGCUUAAACCAGGUCUACCUAAGUUAGGCCGAGAAAAAAAAGAUCGAUGUUUCCGGUAACCCGACCGACCCUGUUUUUUAGCCCCGACCCUAACUUUUUUAUUGGAUCUUCAAAAAAAAAAAAAAAAAAAAUUGUAUCAACCGACCCCUUUUUGACACAGGCUUCUGAUAAGAUGACAUAAUAUUUUUUCUCUCUUGCUUCUACUGCAUAGAAAGCCAGUAAAACAUUUUAUAAUGUCAAAAGGUAUUCCAAAUAAAAAUCCAAGAAAUUUGCACAGCAGGUGCUUCAAAAACAUUGCAAAUGGCACACUUCCGGUUUUUGAAACUAAUUACGAUCCGGAUUGGAAAAACCAUGAUAAUUUUCCGGAUUUCAUUUACGAUGUCAAAAAAAAAAAAAAAAAAAAAAAAAAAGAAUUCGACCUACCGAGCCUAUUUUUUCAAAUGAUGUUACCGGAAACACAACUUUUUUUUUAGGCCUUAGUAUAAAUGUCUUGUCAUAUUGCAACAAUGACACUUAGAUAGCAAAGAUUUUAACCUCAAAAUGCGUUUGAUUAAAAUGUUUGUCAGUAUUGCAGCAAUUAUAUUCAAGAAAAUUAAGAACAUGAGCUAUAAACAUUGAUAAAACUACAAAUAUGAGAAUGAAAACUUAAACUCUAUAGCAGAAGGAGGAAAAGACAGCAGAAAAGGAAGAGUUUUUUGUUCAGAAUUUAAAACCUUUUUUUUUAGUAAAGCACUUGUGUCACUUACCGAUUUCUUAAAAGACCUCUGAUCAACAUUAGCCUUUGUCUAAUUAGAUGGGUAUUGUAGUUUCUAGUCUUGUGAAGGAAUUGUAAUAUAUGAUUAGAAUAACAAUUUUUAUCUUUAUUUUAGUUCUACAUCAUUGAAACACAAUGUGAACUUUACUGUAGAGACUUAUUGUUUAUGUCAUUGUUUAUGGAACCACCAAACAGAAUGGGUUUACAAGGUUAGAUAUUAUUCUCUGAUUGUUUUCUGCUUUUAAUAAAUCAUGCUUUCACACAAGAUUUAAAAAAAAAAUAUAUGAAUGUAAUUGAACCAUUACUGUAUGAAAUUUCAUUCAUAGGGAAUGUGAUUGCAAAAAUAACUUGUCAGACAUAGCAGAAAUAAUAAAGAAAAAGAUCCGAUACAUAGUGUGCAAUGAGAAAUCAUGUCAGAAGUUUACAUUAAUGAAACAAUAAUUGGGCAACACAAACCAAGAAUGUAUCUAAAGGUUAUUACACAGUUUCAAUGAAUAUAAAAAGAUGUAUGAUUGUCAAUUUAGAGGACUCUCCAUCAGAGAACAAAUGACUUAAAAGUAGACAACUAUAGGUCACUCUUAAAAUCUUCAAUAUUGAGAUAAACUCAAAUUGCAUACAUGUAGCCAGCAAUAAAAUGCCUUGAAAUGACAAAUGUAAAACACUCAAACAAGAAAACUAUAGUAUUCAUACCGUCAUGUAAUGUCUAAAUUGCCUAUGUCUAGACAUAUCUGACAACACCAAAUUCAUAAAUGAACACAAAAAACGAUGAACAUGGAUUUAGUAAAUUACAGUUGAACAGCUUUUAAUUAAAACCCCUGACAAGGCAAGGUUCCUUACAUCAUCAAGUGGCGGAGUUAAACAAGUUAAAAUGAAUACUUUAUGUUUUUGAUUCCCCUAUUGUAAUAAUCAUUUGAAUAACUAAAGCUACAACAGUCUUCACGACGAGUGGCAGCCCAGGCAGCCCAGGCUGGUAAAAUUGCUCUCAGGCCUGUAAAAAUCAGACCUACAAGCCAACAGAAUCUAACUAAAAAUUUUCAAAAAUUGAGCUGCGGGCCUGUAGAUUAAGCAGUUCAGCGUGAAGACUGCUACAAAGAAAAUGCAGAUUAAGAAUAAGUUCUGAAAAAAAAACAACUUACUAAUACAUGCAUACCCGUAGCCAUGGGUGGUUCGGAAGAACCUCCCCUUGAAACCAAAUAAGCACUGUUAAAGUCAAUGUUCUGUUCAAAUUGUGACUGUUGAAGUCGAGUUUAUGAGUUUAUGAGUUUACCCCCAUUGGAAAUUCCUGGCUACGGGCCUGCCAUGUAGUAGUUAGUAUUCAAUAAAAUAUAAAGUAUCCAGUUUUAAUAAUCACAAUUCUUGAUAGUUUAAUAUAAAAGAAUUCUCAGUUUCUAAAGCAAGCUCUAAAUUAUAAACCUUGCCUUGGCCCCCUGAUAAGGAAACUGUGGCUUAUACUUAUAUGUGUUGUCAGUUGUUGUUACAAGUAUAUCUUAAUUUUAUAUAACAACAUCAUGAAUAGUGCAUUAGAACAUAUUAUUGUACAGUGAUUAUAGUAAAGUUAUAUAUAUAUGAACUAGAUUUGAUUUUUUUUUGGUAGAGAAAACAGAACUAUUUUUAGAACUAUAUGGGAAUUUACUUGUAAGGCAGCAGUCCAUGGAAUAUGUACAGAAGAUGUCAAAUGAAAUGAUUAAG
rnacentral:lncRNA from 1 species